rnacentral:rRNA from 1 species
GGUUAAGCGACUAAGCGUACACGGUGGAUGCCCUGGCAGUCAGAGGCGAUGAAGGACGUGCUAAUCUGCGAUAAGCGUCGGUAAGGUGAUAUGAACCGUUAUAACCGGCGAUUUCCGAAUGGGGAAACCCAGUGUGAUUCGUCACACUAUCAUUAACUGAAUCCAUAGGUUAAUGAGGCGAACCGGGGGAACUGAAACAUCUAAGUACCCCGAGGAAAAGAAAUCAACCGAGAUUCCCCCAGUAGCGGCGAGCGAACGGGGAGCAGCCCAGAGCCUGAAUCAGUGUGUGUGUUAGUGGAAGCGUCUGGAAAGGCGUGCGAUACAGGGUGACAGCCCCGUACACAAAAAUGCACAUACUGUGAGCUCGAUGAGUAGGGCGGGACACGUGGUAUCCUGUCUGAAUAUGGGGGGACCAUCCUCCAAGGCUAAAUACUCCUGACUGACCGAUAGUGAACCAGUACCGUGAGGGAAAGGCGAAAAGAACCCCGGCGAGGGGAGUGAAAAAGAACCUGAAACCGUGUACGUACAAGCAGUGGGAGCACGCUUAGGCGUGUGACUGCGUACCUUUUGUAUAAUGGGUCAGCGACUUAUAUUCUGUAGCAAGGUUAACCGAAUAGGGGAGCCGAAGGGAAACCGAGUCUUAACUGGGCGUUAAGUUGCAGGGUAUAGACCCGAAACCCGGUGAUCUAGCCAUGGGCAGGUUGAAGGUUGGGUAACACUAACUGGAGGACCGAACCGACUAAUGUUGAAAAAUUAGCGGAUGACUUGUGGCUGGGGGUGAAAGGCCAAUCAAACCGGGAGAUAGCUGGUUCUCCCCGAAAGCUAUUUAGGUAGCGCCUCGUGAAUUCAUCUCCGGGGGUAGAGCACUGUUUCGGCAAGGGGGUCAUCCCGACUUACCAACCCGAUGCAAACUGCGAAUACCGGAGAAUGUUAUCACGGGAGACACACGGCGGGUGCUAACGUCCGUCGUGAAGAGGGAAACAACCCAGACCGCCAGCUAAGGUCCCAAAGUCAUGGUUAAGUGGGAAACGAUGUGGGAAGGCCCAGACAGCCAGGAUGUUGGCUUAGAAGCAGCCAUCAUUUAAAGAAAGCGUAAUAGCUCACUGGUCGAGUCGGCCUGCGCGGAAGAUGUAACGGGGCUAAACCAUGCACCGAAGCUGCGGCAGCGACGCUUAUGCGUUGUUGGGUAGGGGAGCGUUCUGUAAGCCUGUGAAGGUGUGCUGUGAGGUAUGCUGGAGGUAUCAGAAGUGCGAAUGCUGACAUAAGUAACGAUAAAGCGGGUGAAAAGCCCGCUCGCCGGAAGACCAAGGGUUCCUGUCCAACGUUAAUCGGGGCAGGGUGAGUCGACCCCUAAGGCGAGGCCGAAAGGCGUAGUCGAUGGGAAACAGGUUAAUAUUCCUGUACUUGGUGUUACUGCGAAGGGGGGACGGAGAAGGCUAUGUUGGCCGGGCGACGGUUGUCCCGGUUUAAGCGUGUAGGCUGGUUUUCCAGGCAAAUCCGGAAAAUCAAGGCCGAGGCG